rnacentral:rRNA from 1 species
AGGGUUUGAUCCUGGCUCAGAACGAACGCUGGCGGCAGGCCCCAUACAUGCAAGUCGAACGCCCCUUCGGGGGAGUGGCAGACGGGUGAGUAACACGUGGGAACCUACCCAGAGGUUCGGAAUAACUCAGGGAAACUUGAGCUAAUACCGGAUAAGCCUUGCGAGGGAAAGAUUCAUCGCCUUUGGAUGGGCCCGCGGCAGAUUAGUUUGUUGGUGGGGUAAUGGCCUACCAAGACUACGAUCUGUAGCUGGUUUGAGAGGAUGAUCAGCCACACUGGGACUGAGACACGGCCCAGACUCCUACGGGAGGCAGCAGUAGGGAAUCUUGCACAAUGGGCGAAAGCCUGAUGCAGCCAUGCCGCGUGAGUGAAGAAGGCUCUAGGGUUGUAAAACUCUUUCAGCGGGGAAGAUAAUGACGGUACCCGCAGAAGAAGCCCCGGCUAACUCCGUGCCAGCAGCCGCGGUAAUAC